rnacentral:lncRNA from 7 species
AGAAUAUUAGAACUUGUGUAUAUAAUUGUCUCUAGUACAAGUGGAAGAUUAUUGGAGAUAUACCCAAGUGAUAAUUAUAAAUAAUUCGGAUUAUAGUCCUACUAAGUCUUUUUCUGCUGUGCUACGUGUCUAAAUAGAUGUGUCAUGCCACUGAAAGACUGGCCUCAUAUUGGUUUGCUACAUGAAUUCCUCUCUGGCAUGUGGCUUGCCGGCUCGCUCACUACCUGCUCUGCGAACACAGAGCAGACGCUCCGCAUUCCGCAGCUUCUCCAGAGCAGAGCGCUGGGCAACGGAGACGAUCAAUGCGGGAAGCAAUCGGCGGUCCUCAACGGUCGGUCAGUACAGCUAACAGUGGUCCGUACGCCAACUGUGGCGCGCAAGGAACACGUGCUUGCUUUGGUUCCGCUACCUGUUUGUGCAGUUAUGCCACAGCCGCGACGGUGAAUCGAAUGAAUGAGCCCUCCUGACAUUCCAAUCGAAACAAUGGUAGCCAUGCCCUGACGCUCAAGU